UACGAGCGGCGGACGGGUGGAGUAACACGUGGACGAAUACUGCCCCCCGGCCCCCGGGACGUAGCCCAGGGAAACCGUAGGAUUAAUACCGGAUGAGACGGGACCCGCGAUGGCGGGACCCGGAAGGCGCUGCGGCGCCGCCGGGGGAUGAGUCUGCGUCCCAUUAGCUAGACGCGGGGUAACGGCCCACCGUGGCGACGAUGGGUAGCCGGCCUGAGAGGGUGGACGGCCACAUUGGAACUGAGACACGGUCCAGACUCCUACGGGAGGCAGCAGCUAAGAAUCUUCCGCAAUGGGCGAAAGCCUGACGGAGCGAACCGCCGCGUGAACGAAGAAGGCCGUGAGGUUGUAAAGUUCUUUUCGGGAGGGGGAACAACCGUGGCAGGGAAUGGCCGCGGGAUGACGUGAAUCCCGGAAUAAGCCCCGGCUAACUACGUGCCAGCAGCGGC
rnacentral:rRNA from 1 species